AAACUCAUAACAUUUAAAAAAACGGAUACUUGAAAGAGAAUUGGCCAAUAAAGGUGAAAGUGCAGCAAAGGAACAAAAAGUCACAACCUGGAAGUGAAAUCCAAAUUGAACAGUAGUAGAGUCACAGAAGAAAGAGGCGCUGGAGGGAACGUGCAUCCAGCCCCGUUCCAGGGACUCACGUGUGCCGCCAGAGGAAGCUGGUGAGAGAGACUGGUCGACACAAAGGAGGAAAGAGGUUGUGAUGAGAAGCGUGAAGACACUGCGAGGAGGGGAUGCCAACAAAAACCUUCAUGUUAAAAGAUCUCUCAGAUUUCACAGCAUUGAAAUGUAAAAUUUAUACUUAAAGAAGCAUGUAAAAUAUAUAAAAUGUUGGAAAUGGAUCCAAACUUAGGAAGGACUGUGACAAUUCACCCAGGCAGAGAAAGAUGCUCAUUCCAGAGCAUGUUAUAUAAUGAGAAGAGACAAGCACCGUUCAAAUUACCACUAACUUCUCUACAAACACUUCAGUUCUCAACGCUUCUGUUUUAAAUUACAGUGUAGUAAGUAUUUUCUCUUUUUCAGCAAAGUUGCUUCUACGGCCAGUUAGCCGUACAGUGACAACGUCUGAGGCAAAGAUUCUUACAGCGAAAAUCCUGGACACAGUUACCGACAUCUGGUGGGAAGAAGCCAGGAAGGUGCUGGACACCCUACAAAGCACGAGAUCGCCUCCCACGACCAAAAGCACCUGGCCCAAAACGACAGCCGUGAGAAACUCAGUUCUCAAGUGACAAGGCAGCUGGGUGGUGACCUUGGUCCGCGGUGGUGCUGGGGAGCUGACACAGAGGACUACAUAGAACUUCCGCAGGUGACGGAAACGUUAGUUAUCUUAACUUUGGUGGUGGUCUCGUGAGUGUAUACAUCUGUCAAACUGGACACUUAAAAUGGGUGCAGUUUAUUUCAUGUAAAUUUUACCUCACUAAAGUUGAUUCACAAACUGAAAUCAUUGGACGACUAGAAGGAAACAUAGCAGAUAUUCAUAAUAAGCUCAAACUAGGGGGCACCUUUUUAGAAGGCAUUAAAAGGCAUU
rnacentral:lncRNA from 1 species